rnacentral:rRNA from 1 species
GACGAACCGUGCAAACGUUAUUCGGAUUCACUGGGCUUAAAGGGCGCGUAGGCGGGUCAUCAAGUCUGGGGUGAAAUACUUCGGCUCAACCGGAGAACAGCCUUGGAUACUGGUGGCCUCGAGGGAGAUAGGGGUGCGUGGAACUUCCGGUGGAGCGGUGAAAUGCGUAGAUAUCGGAAGGAACGCCGGUGGCGAAAGCGGCGCACUGGAUCUCUUCUGACGCUGAGGCGCGAAAGCUAGGGGAGCGAACGGGAUUAGAUACCCCGGUAGUCCUAGCCCUAAACGAUGGGUACUAGGUAGUAGGCCGCAUGGGUUUACUGCCGAAGCAAAAGUGAUAAGUACCCCGCCUGGGGAGUAUGGUCGCAAGGCUGAA